rnacentral:rRNA from 1 species
GGGUUGUGAGGUUAAGCGACUAAGCGUACACGGUGGAUGCCCUGGCAGUCAGAGGCGAUGAAGGACGUGCUAAUCUGCGAAAAGCGUCGGUAAGGUGAUAUGAACCGUUAUAACCGGCGAUGUCCGAAUGGGGAAACCCAGUGCAAUUCGUUGCACUAUCGUUAACUGAAUACAUAGGUUAACGAGGCGAACCGGGGGAACUGAAACAUCUAAGUACCCCGAGGAAAAGAAAUCAACCGAGAUUCCCCCAGUAGCGGCGAGCGAACGGGGAGCAGCCCAGAGUCUGAAUCAGCUUGUGUGUUAGUGGAACGGUCUGGAAAGUCCGACGGUACAGGGUGAUAGUCCCGUACACCAAAAUGCACAGGCUGUGAACUCGAAGAGUAGGGCGGGACACGUGGUAUCCUGUCUGAAUAUGGGGGGACCAUCCUCCAAGGCUAAAUACUCCUGACUGACCGAUAGUGAACCAGUACCGUGAGGGAAAGGCGAAAAGAACCCCGGCGAGGGGAGUGAAAAAGAACCUGAAACCGUGUACGUACAAGCAGUGGGAGCACCUUCGGGUGUGACUGCGUACCUUUUGUAUAAUGGGUCAGCGACUUAUAUUCUGUAGCAAGGUUAACCGUAUAGGGGAGCCGCAGGGAAACCGAGUCUUAACUGGGCGUUAAGUUGCAGGGUAUAGACCCGAAACCCGGUGAUCUAGCCAUGGGCAGGUUGAAGGUUGGGUAACACUAACUGGAGGACCGAACCGACUAAUGUUGAAAAAUUAGCGGAUGACUUGUGGCUGGGGGUGAAAGGCCAAUCAAACCGGGAGAUAGCUGGUUCUCCCCGAAAGCUAUUUAGGUAGCGCCUCGUGAACUCAUCUUCGGGGGUAGAGCACUGUUUCGGCUAGGGGGUCAUCCCGACUUACCAACCCGAUGCAAACUACGAAUACCGAAGAAUGUUAUCACGGGAGACACACGGCGGGUGCUAACGUCCGUCGUGAAGAGGGAAACAACCCAGACCGCCAGCUAAGGUCCCAAAGUCAUGGUUAAGUGGGAAACGAUGUGGGAAGGCACAGACAGCCAGGAUGUUGGCUUAGAAGCAGCCAUCAUUUAAAGAAAGCGUAAUAGCUCACUGGUCGAGUCGGCCUGCGCGGAAGAUGUAACGGGGCUAAACCAUGCACCGAAGCUGCGGCAGCGACACUAUGUGUUGUUGGGUAGGGGAGCGUUCUGUAAGCCUGCGAAGGUGACCUGUGAGGGUUGCUGGAGGUAUCAGAAGUGCGAAUGCUGACAUAAGUAACGAUAAAGCGGGUGAAAAGCCCGCUCGCCGGAAGACCAAGGGUUCCUGUCCAACGUUAAUCGGGGCAGGGUGAGUCGACCCCUAAGGCGAGGCCGAAAGGCGUAGUCGAUGGGAAACAGGUUAAUAUUCCUGUACUUGGUGUUACUGCGAAGGGGGGACGGAGAAGGCUAUGUUAGCCGGGCGACGGUUGUCCCGGUUUAAGCAUGUAGGCUGGUUGUCCAGGCAAAUCCGGAUAAUCAAGGCUGAGGUGUGAUGACGAGGCACUACGGUGCUGAAGUAACAAAUGCCCUGCUUCCAGGAAAAGCCUCUAAGCAUCAGGUAACAUCAAAUCGUACCCCAAACCGACACAGGUGGUCAGGUAGAGAAUACCAAGGCGCUUGAGAGAACUCGGGUGAAGGAACUAGGCAAAAUGGUGCCGUAACUUCGGGAGAAGGCACGCUGGUGUGUAGGUGAAGUCCCUGCGGAUGGAGCUGAGACCAGUCGAAGAUACCAGCUGGCUGCAACUGUUUAUUAAAAACACAGCACUGUGCAAACACGAAAGUGGACGUAUACGGUGUGACGCCUGCCCGGUGCCGGAAGGUUAAUUGAUGGGGUUAUCCGUAAGGAGAAGCUCUUGAUCGAAGCCCCGGUAAACGGCGGCCGUAACUAUAACGGUCCUAAGGUAGCGAAAUUCCUUGUCGGGUAAGUUCCGACCUGCACGAAUGGCGUAAUGAUGGCCAGGCUGUCUCCACCCGAGACUCAGUGAAAUUGAACUCGCUGUGAAGAUGCAGUGUACCCGCGGCAAGACGGAAAGACCCCGUGAACCUUUACUAUAGCUUGACACUGAACAUUGAGCCUUGAUGUGUAGGAUAGGUGGGAGGCUUUGAAGCGUGGACGCCAGUCUGCGUGGAGCCAACCUUGAAAUACCACCCUUUAAUGUUUGAUGUUCUAACGUUGGCCCCUUACCGGGGUUGCGGACAGUGUCUGGUGGGUAGUUUGACUGGGGCGGUCUCCUCCCAAAGCGUAACGGAGGAGCACGAAGGUUAGCUAAUCCUGGUCGGACAUCAGGAGGUUAGUGCAAUGGCAUAAGCUAGCUUGACUGCGAGCGUGACGGCGCGAGCAGGUGCGAAAGCAGGUCAUAGUGAUCCGGUGGUUCUGAAUGGAAGGGCCAUCGCUCAACGGAUAAAAGGUACUCCGGGGAUAACAGGCUGAUACCGCCCAAGAGUUCAUAUCGACGGCGGUGUUUGGCACCUCGAUGUCGGCUCAUCACAUCCUGGGGCUGAAGUAGGUCCCAAGGGUAUGGCUGUUCGCCAUUUAAAGUGGUACGCGAGCUGGGUUUAGAACGUCGUGAGACAGUUCGGUCCCUAUCUGCCGUGGGCGCUGGAGAAUUGAGGGGGGCUGCUCCUAGUACGAGAGGACCGGAGUGGACGCAUCACUGGUGUUCGGGUUGUCAUGCCAAUGGCACUGCCCGGUAGCUAAAUGCGGAAGAGAUAAGUGCUGAAAGCAUCUAAGCACGAAACUUGCCCCGAGAUGAGUUCUCCCUGAGACUUUAAGUCUCCUGAAGGAACGUUAAAGACGAUGACGUUGAUAGGCCGGGUGUGUAAGCGCAGCGAUGCGUUGAGCUAACCGGUACUAAUGAACCGUGAGGCUUAACCUUACAACGCCGAAG